UACGUAGGGGGCAAGCGUUGGUCCGGAAUCAUUGGGCGUAAAGAGCGUGUAGGCGGUUUGGUAAGUCCGCUGUGAAAGUCCAGGGCUCAACCCUGGAAUGCCAGUGGAAACUGUCAAGCUAGAGUCCGGAAGAGGCGAGUGGAACUCCUGGUGUAGCGGUGAAAUGCGCAGAUAUCAGGAAGAACACCAAUGGCGAAGGCAGCUCGCUGGGACGUGACUGACGCUGAGACGCGAAAGCGUGGGGAGCGAACAGG
rnacentral:rRNA from 1 species